UACGGAGGGUGCGAGCGUUUGUCCGGAAUCAUUGGGCGUAAAGGGCGCGUAGGUGGCCUGGUCAGCGUGCGGUGAAAGCUCGGGGCUCAACCCCGAGUCGGCCGUGCGAACUGCUGGGCUGGAGCACUGUAGAGGCAGGCGGAAAUUCCGGGUGUAGCGGUGGAAUGCGUAGAGAUCCGGAAGAACACCGGUGGCGAAGGCGGCCUGCU
rnacentral:rRNA from 1 species